rnacentral:rRNA from 1 species
UACGGAGGGUGCAAGCGUUAUCCGGAUUUACUGGGUUUAAAGGGUGUGUAGGCGGGUCUUUAAGUCAGUGGUGAAAUCUCCGAGCUCAACUUGGAAACUGCCAUUGAUACUAUUGAUCUUGAAUUCUGUUGAGGUUGGCGGAAUAAGUCAUGUAGCGGUGAAAUGCAUAGAUAUGACUUAGAACACCGAUUGCGAAGGCAGCUAACUAAGCAGAUAUUGACGCUGAGGCACGAAAGCGUGGGGAUCAACCAGG